GACGAACGCUGGCGGCGUGCUUAACACAUGCAAGUCGAGCGGAGCGGCGAACGGGCGAGGAACGCGUGAGUAACUGCCCCCCUCUCUGGGAUAACAGUUGGAAACGGCUCCUAAUACCGGAUAAAGGGGGAUGGCUCGGGGCGUAUCAGCUUGUUGGUGGGGGGAUGGCCUACCAAGGCGGUGCCGGGUAGUCGGCCUGAGAGGGUGACCGGCAACAUUGGGCUGAGAUACGGCCCAGACUCCUACGCGAGGGAGCAGUGGGGGAUAUUGCACAAAGGGCGAAAGCCUGAUGCAGCGACGCCGCGUGGGGGAUGAAGGCUUUCGGGUUGUAAACCUCUUUCGCUAUCGAAAGGGUAGGUGGAGAAGAAGCGCCGGCUAACUACGUGCCAGCAGCCGCGGUAAUAC
rnacentral:rRNA from 1 species